AAUUCGAUGAUACGCGAGGAACCUUACCGGGCUUGAAAUGCAUCUGACAGGGGCGGAGACGCCCUCUCCCUUCGGGGCAGAUGUGUAGGUGCUGCAUGGUUGUCGUCAGCUCGUGCCGUGAGGUGUCGGCUUAAGUGCCAUAACGAGCGCAACCCUCAUCAUUAGUUACCAUCAGGUGAAGCUGGGGACUCUAGUGAGACUGCCAUCGUAAGAUGCGAGGAAGUGGGGAUGACGUCAAAUCAGCACGGCCCUUACUCCGGGGCGACACACGUGUUACAAUGGGUGGUACAAAGGGCAGCUACAUGGCGACAUGAUGCUAAUCUCCAAAACCGCUCUCAGUUCGGAUCGGAGUCUGCAACUCGACUCCGUGAAGCUGGAUUCGCUAGUAAUCGCGCAUCAGCCACGGCCGCGGUCGAAUACGUUCCCGGGCCUU
rnacentral:rRNA from 1 species